UACAGAGGUGGCAAGCGUUGUUCGGAAUUACUGGGCGUAAAGGGCGCGUAGGCGGUCCUGUAAGUCUUGUGUGAAAUCCCUCGGCUCAACUGAGGAACUGCACGGGAUACUGCGAGACUUGAGUUCGGGAGAGGGAAGCGGAAUUCCGGGUGUAGCGGUGAAAUGCGUAGAUAUCCGGAGGAACACCGGUGGCGAAGGCGGCCCCCUGGGCUGACACUGACGCUCAGGCACGAAAGCGUGGGGAGCAAACAGG
rnacentral:rRNA from 1 species